rnacentral:sRNA from 1 species
UUCCCUGUUCUGCCAGCCUAGGCUUGCUCUCCCACGCCUUUGGCAUCUCCACAAGACUAACAAAUUCUCUUCCAGGUUCCUCUUCCCUUGAGAAGGAUACGGAUCGUAUGAAGUACUGUGCCAGUAGAAUGGAGCUCAGCUCAGUCAGCCUGAUCGGUGUGAAGGAAAAUCCACCAUGGACGUACUCGUGUACCCAUCACUCUCUGAUAUCCAAGUCCUCAUUUCCUUCCUCAACAGAGCCCGCACACUGUCUAUUUCAGAUCUCUGAUUUCUGGAUCAUCCAGGUAGUAGACGUUUGCAGAGGACCUAGUAUGUGAAGGCACAAGGUCCCACAGCACACGCAUGGAGCAAAUCUUCAAACAAGACCAAAGAUCUACAGAGCAGUAUUGAAACUUUUAUUUAAAAGGUGGCAGAAAUUAGCAGGUCUGAAUGUGCCUAUUGCUUUACUGGAUGCCUUCAGUGGCACAACUGCUGUGUGUGAAUUCCAAAGAAAAGCCAAGAUGUGAAAAAAGUAACCCUGAGAGUGAUUAGGAAUACAUUUCUUUGGAAUUUAAUUUCUUCCCUCCAGUACCCGAGACUUUUAAACCUUCCAAAAUAUUAAAAUUUUAUUACCUUGAGCAUUUGUGCUUUGACUCUAAUGUGCAUUCUGAUAACUCGGUAAUUCUGUUAACAUACAAAUUAGCAUUCUACAGGUCCAAGGCCUGACACUGCUUUCCCGGAGGGUGCUAGUACAGGUACAUCGCAGGAAAGAAGCCCAGAGAAACAAUGCAAGAUUCUAAUAAACUCUUGUUUUUAUUGAAAGAAACGCACUGUGGUGGUUUUGAUAACAGCGCUGAUGUAGCCUACGGGGCUAAGCCGUAAACUCUGCAACAGCAGGAUUCAUCAGGAUUGACCAGGGUUUACAGUACCAAACUGCAGAGACGAAGUCUCCAUCUUAACAGGAACUUACGCCUAUGGGAACUACAUCUUUCACCAUUUAUUCCCAUGAAAUACGAUAGUGCCACUACAAGGAGUUAAAUGAUUUCUGUGGAGCUCAUCCCUACACCCAGAGCAGCAAGCACUUAGGCAUGCAAAGUAAAACCUUAUCUCAUAAACCACAUCCUCAAUAGAGAUCUUUGAGAGGAAACAUUGGUUUUUUUUUUUUUUUCAAUCGAAACAUGGUAAGAGACUUGGAGCCUUCAGAGAUAAAAUAGAGCCUUCCUGUGGGUCUAUUUCCACAUCUGCACCUGUCAUCUGU